rnacentral:rRNA from 1 species
UACAGAGGGGGCAAGCGUUGUUCGGAAUUACUGGGCGUAAAGGGCGCGUAGGCGGCCUGCUAAGUCGAACGUGAAAUCCCCGGGCUCAACCCGGGAACUGCGUCCGAUACUGGCAGGCUUGAAUUCGGGAGAGGGAUGCAGAAUUCCAGGUGUAGCGGUGAAAUGCGUAGAUAUCUGGAGGAAUACCGGUGGCGAAGGCGGCAUCCUGGACCGACAUUGACGCUGAGGAGCGAAAGCCAGGGGAGCAAACGGG